rnacentral:rRNA from 1 species
GUCUCUUUGUUUUUUAUAUAUAAGGAGUCGGGCCUGCUCGGUGAUAUUAUAUUUAACAGCUGCAGCGUAAUAGUUGUACUAAGGUAGCAUAAUAAUUUGCCUUAUAAAUUAAGGCUAGAAUGAAUGGUUUGACGAAAGUUGAUCUGUCUCUUAUUUAUUUAUUAGAAAUUAAUUUUUAUAGUGAAAAAGCUUUAAUUGAUUAAAGGGACGAGAAGACCCUAUUGAGCUUUUAUCAAAUGUGUAUAAAAUUAUUUUAAAAUUAUAUAAGAAAAUGAUUUUGAUUGGGGUGAUCGAGGAAUAAGAUAAAGUAGUUAAUAACUUCCUUAAAAAUAAUUAAAAUAAAAUUGAUAAAUUAAUUAACCAAUAUUUUGCUUACGUGAAUAAGUUACCAUAGGGAUAACAGCGUAAUUUUUUUAGAGAGUUCYUAUUGAUAAAAAAGAUUGCGACCUCGAUGUUGGAUUAAAAUAACCUUAAGGUGAAGAAGCUUUAAUAGGUGAAUCUGUUCGAUUUUUAAAAUUUUAC